CAGACGGUAGGAUUACUGUCUCAUGAGUUUAAGCUAGUUCACCAAUCCAUGUAUCUGACACCUGUAUAAAUGAACUGAGUCUUAAAGGACAUUUUUGCCUAUCGUUCACAAUCAUGAGACAUGAACAAGUCUUUUUUUCUUUUUCUUUUUUAGGAUUAUAAAGAUAAACGCCUGCAAGAUGUGGCUAAUAGGAGUCACCGUUGCAGCCUUCAAAGCCCUCUAAAACAACUUCAAAACCCUCCAGCAAUGUUUUAUAUACAUGCUGCCAAUCUACCGUAUUUUCCGCACUAUAAGGUGCAUCGGAUUAUAAGGGCACCUUCAAUGAAUGGCCUAUUUUAAAACGUUGUUCAUAUAUAAGGCGCAUAGAAUAGACGCUACAGUAGAGGCUGGGGUUACAUUAAGCAUCCAUUAGAUGGAGCUGCGCUAAAGGGAAUGUCAACAAAACAAAUAGUGAUUGUACUGACACUUCUACUUGCUGCUCUCUGUUCAACAACUCACUGUCCGAGUUUGUCCUCCAACUGUAGCCAUCUCGCUUUGUUCCCUCGGAAACUCUGUUUAGUCUUCUUUACUUGGCGCACCAUUGAUUCGUUAAUGUUAAAUGAUCUCGCUGCUGCUCUAUUCCCGUGUUCUACUGCGUGACUGAUCGCCUUGAGUUUAAACUCUGCGUCGUAAGCGUGUCUCUUAAUAGGAGCCAUUUUUGGGUCUUAACAUAAAGUUUAGGUCUCGCAACUACGGUAAUCAGCCGCCAACUUCAUUUUCCCCCGUAGAAGAAGCGCGGGGGAUAAUGAAGUCGGCGGCUGCUUACCGUAGUUGCGAGACCUGUUGUGACUCAAUAUUGGUCCAUAUAUAAGGCGCACCGGAUUAUAAGGCGCACUGUCAGCUUCUGAGGAAAUUGGAGGUUUUUAGGUGCGCCUUAUAGUGUGGAAAAUAUGGUAUAUAUAAUGUAUUAGACUUAGACAACCUUUAAUGAUCCACAAGGGAAAUUGUUCAACACAGUAGCUCAGUUACAAUGAUGGAAAGGACAAUGCAGGUAUAAAUAGACUAAUAUAGCUAUAAAAAAUCUAACAUAUAUACGAAUAUAUACAUGUGUACAGAGUAAUUUAUAUACAGAUAUAUUAUAUUAUGUCUAUAACAUAUAUACAAUAUAAACCAAUGACCAUGUACAAUAUUACAGUAUAUACAGUCUAUAUGACAGCAGCAGCAUAAAAUGGAGACAAUAGACAAUCAUAACAUGUAAUAUGUACAAUACUUAGCAUAUUUUGGUCAUUUCAUGCACACCGGAACUAAUUCUUAGCAUUUAUUUCUGUUUCCAUAGCAGUGCACUUCCGACUUACAACAAAAAAUUUAUUGCUACUCUGAAUCAAACGCAAGUGUUUUCUAAUCAUGGCAGACUUGGUAACUGACAAUGAAGACUAUUUUUGGUCUGAGGAUUCGCAGCAUUGUCUUUUUAAAGCCAAAUAUACUGCUUAUAGAAGCUAGCACAAAAAGAGGCUAAAACAUUAAAGCAGAUGGAAGCAGAGAGUGCGACAGUCAUGUUGCAAAUCUGGAACGUUGAUCCAAGCUAUGCCGAAUUAAUGGCUUGUUACCAAAUCAACCUGAAACAUCCCCGGCCAACUGUCCGUCGAGCAGGUCACUUUACUACUGAUCAUGGUACAUGCAGCACAUCACCGUACCCUACAGUGCGUACGCUCUUCGUGUUAGCUGUCUACAAACAAAACCUGAAAUGUGGGAUAAUACUUAACAGUUACUACUGUAAUAUGAUCAUGUUUUUCAGUCAUUACGAAUUGUUCUAUCGCAGUGGUGUGCAUUACAAACUCAGAUGCGUUUCAUGCUGACGUAAAAGCUAAUACCGUCACACGCUGAUGUGUUGGUACGCUAGAGAAAGAGUUCCACAGUGUUCGCUCUUACAAUAACAAUGUUGCUACAGAUUGGUUAUUAUGCAGGUUAUGGAACUGAAGUAUUGACUGUUUUUGGAAUGCAUUUUAGUCAUUUAGAGGUAGAAUUGAUUGCUCCUAUUAGCUGCAUUGCUAUCCACCAAGAAAGACGAUUUUUGUUAAAAUGCAAAAAAAAAGUCUUGUCAUAAGGGUUGUAAACGAUGGGCAGAAUUCCAAAAAAAGUGCAGUUCCCCUUUAAGACAACAAUUAACUUGGUUAUGAAGUUUGAGCAGUUCAUCUUACAAUUUGUCACAUUUUAGCCUGUCUGUGCACAAGAUGACCAGCCUUGGAAGAACUCUGAAGCGCAAGAGGAUCCAGUCUUAAAACACAAAAUGACCAACCUUGGAAGAAUUCUGAAGCCCAAGAGGAUCCAGUCUUAAAACCCCAAAUGACCAACCUUGGAAGAAUUCUGAAGCGCAAGAGGAUCCAGUCUUAAAGCACCAAAUGACCAACCUUAGAAGAAUUCUGAAGCCCAAGAGGAUCCAGUCUUAAAACCCCAAAUGACCAACCUUGGAAGAAUUCUGAAGCGCAAGAGGAUCCAGUCUUAAAGCACCAUAUGACCAACCUUGGAAGAAUUCUGAAGCGCAAGAGGAUCCAGUCUUAAAGCACCAUCUGGAUCAACAGACCACACAACCAGGGGAAGAAUGCAACUAGAAUAGUGAUGUCCAAACUACAGCCUGCCAAAGUCUUCAUUGCGGCCCGUGAGACGUUACAAGUCAGAAGCUUGGCCUGUGGUCCAUUUUGUAGCCGAAUUGACUUAUCUGACGUUUCACAGCCCCCAUGUGGCAGUUGAUGGAAUUGACAACAAGUUUGUUCUCAAAUCAUAUUAGGCACAGUAUCAAUAUAUAUAUAUAUAUACUGUAGAUAUGACCCAAUCCUAACAACUUUUCCCACUUAUGGUAAAAAUGAACUUUAAACAACAAAUAAAGUCAACACAUGGUCGCACGUGACAUAACACAUCUAGCACCUGGGUGAAGUUGGUCCCCCCAGCCCUCACAAAACUUUUGAAAUAGUCUCAUUCAUUUGUGCAGUUGAAAUGGUUGUGCUGUUUUUGUUUCAGACUUAUUAAAUAUGGGCAGCACGGUUGAACGGGUUAGUGCAUGUGCCUCACAAAAGGAAGGACGUGAGUUCAAUCCCGGGCACAAGAUCUUUUUGUGUGGAGUUUGCAUGUUCUCCCCGUGACUGCGUGGGCUCCCUCCGGGUACUCCAGCUUCCUCCCACCUCUAAAGACAUGCACCUGGAGAUGGGUUGAUUGGCAACACUGAAUUGGCCCUAGUGUAGGGGUCUCAAACUCAAUUUACCUGGGGGGCCACUGGAUGCGGAAACUGUGUGAGGCUGGGCCGCAAGAAAAGAUUUCUUAAAAAAAUCUUAACAUGCACUUUUUAAUGAAUUCACCUUCUUUGUAUGGCUAUCCCGUCCUAGCAACAUAUUAGCCAGCUCUCCCGAUUUUUCCAUAAAUAAUAAAUAAAAUAAAUAUUGACUGUUGUUACCCAAAGUAUAUUAAGUGGGAUUUUUCAGAAAAAAUAUAUAUAUACAGUAACAAAAACAACCUGUCUCUGAUCACUAUAGGUGUAUAAAUAAAAUGUUAUAUAAAAUCAGUCCCUUGGGCACAAAACUGAAAAUAAUACAGCUCUCCAAAAAGUGCACUUCUGCUGCUAUUGGAACGUACUAACUACAGCUAUUGGAACGUACUAACUACAGCUAUUGGAACAUACUAACUACAGUUAUUACUCAGGAAAAGGCUCAACAGGACUCAGCUGGACCUGCAGAACUUGCUGACCAAGGACUGACAGCAGUGUCCGCGUCACCUGCUGUUGAGACUGUCUAGACCUAAGAGACAUGUUCAGCCACCUAAGAGGCUGAUUGAGAGUUGUCAAGAACUCUUGGUUUUUUUGAGUUGUUUAAAAAAAAAAAAGUGACAUAACUGAUUAUGAUGCUUGACAUUUUUGGUCUUUGUUGAAAUAAAAUUCUAUGAAGAGAAAAGUUGUUUGCAAAUGUGGUUACAAUGCUAAAAAAUGAAAAGUUAAAGCUAAAAAAAGAAAUACACUUUAUUGAGUUAACAUUUCUUUAUAGGGGGAAAGAUGUGAUGUUAUGAGCUAGGGAAUAUAACAACUACACUACCCAGCAUGCAACUGGAGUGACGAGCAUGCGCGGUAGUCCCGAAAAGUGUUGCUGCAUGUCGUCACCCGGCAGAUAAGAAUGAGGUUAUGAGCACGCUGUGAAAGUAAACGUCAAGAACUCAGCCAACCCGCCUCGUCUGCAUUAUUUAUAAUUAGACAGACAACACAUAUACCGUACAUUGUGAUUUGGUUUUGUUUACAAGGAAAGAAAAAAGUUAAAAAAGGGAGAUGUGUUGUGUGUAUAUAUAUGUAUGUGCUGCGGUUGCUUUAAGAACGUUGCGGCAGCUGCCGUAAAC